ensembl:lncRNA
CAGAGCCCGAGUGCGAGCGGGGCUCUGAAGGUUCAGCAGUGUGGCAUUUAUUCCCCUGCUGUUCCCCACUCCUGACUGCUGCCAGCGCCGGAGUGGAGCAGAGCUAGCCUGGAGCUCCGCUGUGAGGAGCAGCGUCAACACAGGUUUAAUUCCAGCAAAUCCCAUUGGUGCUCAAAAUUGAUACAUUGAUACAGGUUUAAAUGUUACCGGGUCAGAGCCACAAGAGUUAAGGUUCAGCCCCUAGCAAUUAUUGUUUAACUUUUGUCAAUUGGGCUAGGAGCAAUCAUGCAAAAAAGUUUCAUGGGCCAAAUGGUACAAAUGUUUCUCCACAAAAUUUGCUAUAUUUGCAAAAUAAUGAUGCAUACUGUGGCAAUUGGUCUCAUAAAGUAAAUUCUAGCAGUACACCUCUACAAUUACCACCUGGUAUUUUUCUAAUUUGUGGAGAUCAUGCAUGGCAAGGACUGCCAGCAAACAUUUAUGGAGGGCCUUGUUAUUUUGGAAAAUUGACAUUGUUUGCACCCACUAUACAGCAACUAUUAGGAGUCAAUAGAACCAGGUUACGAACAAAGAGAAGUGUGUUUCAAUUGGGACCAGAAUGCAAAGAUCAGGUUGAACUUUGGGAACAUCCUACAGUGAUUGUGUCAUCUAUUUUUACACCUGGAGUAUCUAGUGCUCAAGCCUUAACACAGUUACGACGACUGGCAUGUUGGACAGGAAAACAGUUUAANCCAUGGAAAUAUCUCAGGUGGACUUUAACUGAGCAGUAUGUUGCCCCUCAGAAACUGUCAUUAAACAUGUCACUUCAUACUGUUCAUGAUGCUCAGCGAUUGCUAGGAGAUUUACAAUGGCUUAAACCUGUUAUGGGUAUUCCUAAUGAACGUUUACAAUCUUUACGACCCCUUUUAAAAGGUACCGAUCCUACAGCACCUAUACAGGUCACCAGUGAACAACAAGAAGCUCUCAAUAAAAUAAUGGACUGUAUCCAGACAGGAGUUGUUCGUAGGCGAGAUCCAGACUUGGACAUUAAUCUUACUGUAUGGUUUGGACCUCGACAUCUCAUCGGUGCCCUGACACAGCAACAAAAGAAAACAGGAGAGAUAUGGGUGUUAGAGUGGUUGUUACCACCACUACAACAGAGACAUACCUUAAUUCAAAAAAUUGAAAUUUUAGCAAAUUUGAUAAAACAAGGACGGAAGCAAUUGUGGCAAAUUAUGGGUGUAGAUCCAGCUGAAAUUCAGAUACCAAUAAAAAAGGACACUUUAGAUUGGUAUUUAAUUCACAGUUCCACACUGCAAGAAGCAUUGCUUGACAGUAGUAGUGUGGUCAGUACUGAGGAAGUGCCUCGAAUACCACUACGAUGGAUAGGGCCUGUCUGGGUGCCGAGCCGAUGGACUAAACCUGCUGAUCCCAGUGAUUUACCUUCAGCUGAUCCAGAAAAUUUAGCAGAUACUUCUCGCUCUCUACCAUCAACAUAGAGACGGGAUCUGAUGAACUCUCACAUGAAAAUCUUGUGUACAGUACCAAAUUUUGAAUGUUAUCCUUUUGUAUCUUACAUUUGUAAAGUGUGUAAAGAAAAGUGGUGGACACAUUCUAAGUGGGGCCGAUCCCCAAGAGGGAUUUGUACAGAGUGUUACAACUUUGAAAGAAAUUUGACUGAGAUUGCACGACAUGAAGGUGUGCAAACAGGACAAUUUAAAAAGGGAUCUGAUAGACGGUGGGAGAUUUUUGCUUUUGGAAUAAAUCCAGAAAAUUAUUGUUAUCA